rnacentral:lncRNA from 1 species
GAAUAGGUCAGUCAAGGAUGAUCUAAAAUAGAUCAUUCAAGGUCGAAGAGUCAAGAACCAUUACUGAUGAGAUGUGUCCAACGGCCUUCAUCUCUGUCGCAUAUCUAUAUAUCUGUCGGGCACCCAUCUCCCAUAGCUCAACCAGUGCCGAGGAUGUUACAACUGAGGCCGAGGUAUAGAUCUACAACAAGGCUGAUCUUGGAGAUCAGAGAUCUGAGCUCCAUCAUGGGGUGAUGCCAAGCAACGGGACUUGAAGACCUUGUUCGAGCAUGUAGUUCUUCUUUUAAAGGAGCUGUUGUUUGAGUAGACCCUAUUCAACAUUGGCCUCAGCCAAGUUGAUCCACG